rnacentral:rRNA from 1 species
UACGAAGGGGGCUAGCGUUGCUCGGAAUCACUGGGCGUAAAGGGUGCGUAGGCGGGUCUUUUAAGUCGGGGGUGAAAUCCUGGAGCUCAACUCCAGAACUGCCUUUGAUACUGGCAACCUAGAGACUGGAAGAGGUUAGUGGAAUUCCCAGUGUAGAGGUGAAAUUCGUAGAUAUUGGGAAGAACACCAGUGGCGAAGGCGGCUAACUGGUCCAGCACUGACGCUGAGGUGCGAAAGCGUGGGGAGCAAACAGG